ensembl:snRNA U1 U1 spliceosomal RNA
GUGCUUACCUGACAGGGGAGAUACUAUGAUCAGGAAGCUGGUUUUCCCAGAAAGAGGCUUAUCCAUUGCACUCUGGAUAUGCUGACCCCCGUGAUUUCCCCAAACUCGACUGCAUAAAAUGUGAUAGUGGGGGACUGUGUUCACGGUUA